rnacentral:rRNA from 1 species
GACAGAGGCCCCAAGCGUUAGGCGGAAUCACUGGGCUUAAAGCGUGAUGUAGGCGGAUCGUUAAGUGUCUUGUGCUAAUCCCACCGGCUCACCCGGUGGAACUGCUGGGCAUACUGGCGAUCUUGGGCCAACUAGGGGCAACCGGAACAAGCGGUGGAGCGGUGAAAUGCGUAGAUAUCGCUUGGAACGCCAAAGGUGAAAACAGGCUGCUGGGGUUGUGCCGGACGCUGAGACACGAAAGCCAGGGGAGGCAAAACGGGG